AUGGUUCCAACGUAGACAUGGCCGAUCCGGGUCAAAGUGUACUAUUUGUUCUUAUCAGCUUAAUAUCUAAUGCGGGUUGUAUUUGGACCCAAAAUAUUAAACUUAUUUUUGCAAGUUCGUGGAAUGCUUGAAGCCUUCUUCACAUCAGCCGCGGGUCGGCCCGGUAUUGCACUAUGUUCGAGAUCGGCCCUUGGUUU